rnacentral:rRNA from 1 species
UACGGAGGGUGCGAGCGUUGUCCGGAAUCACUGGGCGUAAAGGGCGCGUAGGCGGCCUGAUAAGUAGGGGGUGAAAUCCUGCGGCUUAACCGCAGGGCUGCCUUCUAAACUAUCAGGCUAGAGCACAGUAGAGGCAGGUGGAAUUCCCGGUGUAGCGGUGGAAUGCGUAGAGAUCGGGAAGAACAUCAGUGGCGAAGGCGGCCUGCUGGGCUGUUGCUGACGCUGAGGCGCGACAGCGUGGGGAGCGAACAGG